rnacentral:rRNA from 1 species
AGCGAACGCUGGCGGCAGGCCUAACACAUGCAAGUCGAACGGAUCCUUCGGGAUUAGUGGCGGACGGGUGAGUAACACGUGGGAACGUGCCCUUUGGUUCGGAACAACUCAGGGAAACUUGAGCUAAUACCGGAUGUGCCCUUCGGGGGAAAGAUUUAUCGCCAUUGGAGCGGCCCGCGUCUGAUUAGCUAGUUGGUGAGGUAAAGGCUCACCAAGGCGACGAUCAGUAGCUGGUCUGAGAGGAUGAUCGGCCACAUUGGGACUGAGACACGGCCCAAACUCCUACGGGAGGCAGCAGUGGGGAAUCUUGCGCAAUGGGCGAAAGCCUGACGCAGCCAUGCCGCGUGAAUGAUGGAGGUCUUAGGAUUGUAAAAUUCUUUCACCGGGGACGAUAAUGACGGUACCCGGAGAAGAAGCCCCGGCUAACUUCGUGCCAGCCGCCGCUGUAAGAC